rnacentral:rRNA from 1 species
UUAGACAACCCUUGUGUAGUUUCCACGCCCGGUAAACGUUAGGGAACUAAGGUGUGGGGACGACAAUAUCACGUACGUUCCGUGCCGCAGCUAACGCAUUAAAGUUACCCCGCCUGGGGAGUACGGCCCGCAAGGCUAAAACUCAAAAGGAAUUGACGGGGGCCCGCACAAGCGGCGGAGCAUGUGGGCUUAAAUUCGACGCAACGCGAAGAACCUUACCAAGGCUUGACAUACACCGGAAACACCCAGAGAUGGGUGCCCCCUUGUGGUCGGUGUACAGGUGGUGCAUGGCUGUCGUCAGCUCGUGUCGUGAGAUGUUGGGUUAAGUCCCGCAACGAGCGCAACCCUUGUCCCGUGUUGCCAGCAGGCCCUUGUGGUGCUGGGGACUCACGGGAGACCGCCGGGGUCAACUCGGAGGAAGGUGGGGACGACGUCAAGUCAUCAUGCCCCUUAUGUCUUGGGCUGCACACGUGCUACAAUGGCCGGUACAAAGAGCUGCGAUACCGCAAGGUGGAGCGAAUCUCAAAAAGCCGGUCUCAGUUCGGAUUGGGGUCUGCAACUCGACCCCAUGAAGUCGGAGUCGCUAGUAAUCGCAGAUCAGCAUUGCUGCGGUGAAUACGUUCCCGGGCCUUGUACACACCGCAACGUCACGUCACGAAAGUCGGUAACACCCGAAGCCGGUGGCCCAACCCCUUUGUGGGAGGAAGCUGUCGAAAGGUUGGGACCGGGGAAG